rnacentral:misc_RNA from 1 species
GAUGAAGAACGUAGCGAAAUGCGAUAAGUAAUGUGAAUUGCAGAAUUCAGUGAAUCAUCGAAUCUUUGAACGCACAUUGCGCCCCUUGGUAUUCCGAGGGGCAUGCCUGUUCGAGCGUCAUUACACCACUCAAGCUAUGCUUGGUAUUGGGCGUCGUCCUUAGUUGGGCGCGCCUUAAAGACCUCGGCGAGGCCACUCCGGCUUUAGGCGUAGUAGAAUUUAUUCGAACGUCUGUCAAAGGAGAGGAACUCUGCCGACUGAAACCUUUAUUUUUCUAGGUUGACCUCGGAUCAGGUAGGGAUACCAGCUGAACUUAAGCAUAUCAAAAGCGGAGGA